rnacentral:tRNA from 1 species
UGAGAUAUGGUGUAAUGGCAGCACUAGAGUUUUUGGCACUCUCAGUUGAGGUUCGAAUCCUCAUAUCUCAACCA